rnacentral:rRNA from 1 species
UACGUAGGGGGCUAGCGUUGUCCGGAUUUAUUGGGCGUAAAGAGCUCGUAGGUGGUUCGGUUAGUCGGAUGUGAAAUCUCCAGGCUCAACCUGGAGGAGUCAUUCGAUACUGCCGUGACUAGAGUUCGGUAGAGGAGUGUGGAAUUCCUGGUGGAGCGGUGAAAUGCGCAGAUAUCAGGAAGAACACCCGUGGCGAAGGCGGCUCUCUGGGACGGUACUGACGCUGAGACGCGAAAGCGUGGGGAGCGAACAGG